rnacentral:rRNA from 1 species
UACGUAGGGGGCAAGCGUUGUCCGGAUUUACUGGGCGUAAAGCGCGCGUAGGCGGAACGUUAAGUCCGGUCUGAAAGCCCCCCGGCUCAACCGGGGAGGGUGGCUGGAAACUGGCGUUCUUGAGGGCGAGAGAGGAGGGUGGAAUUCCUGGUGUAGCGGUGAAAUGCGCAGAUAUCAGGAAGAACACCUAUGGCGAAGGCAGCUCUCUGGGACGGUACUGACGCUGAGACGCGAAAGCGUGGGGAGCGAACAGG